GAUGAAGAACGCAGCGAAAUGUGAUAAGUAGUGUGAAUUGCAGAAUUCAGUGAAUCAUCGAAUCUUUGAACGCACAUUGCGCCCCUUGGUAUUCCAUGGGGCAUGCCUGUUCGAGCGUCAUUUGUACCCUCAAGCUUUGCUUGGUGUUGGGUGUUUGUCCCGCGUUGCGCGUGGACUCGCCUUAAAGCGAUUGGCAGCCGGCAUAUUGGCCUUGGAGCGCAGCACAUUUUGCGCUUCUAGUCAUGAAUGUUGGCGUCCAUUAAGCCUAUACAUUUGCUCUUGACCUCGGAUCAGGUAGGGAUACCCGCUGAACUUAAGCAUAUCAAUAAGCGGAGGA
rnacentral:misc_RNA from 1 species